GCCGCGGUGGCGGACUUGGUUUACGCGCAGAACUCAAAAUUCUGUGGGAGAAAUCCCGUGUGGGUUCGAGUCCCACCCGCGGCA
rnacentral:tRNA from 1 species